GGGGUGCUCGAGUGGCGAACGGGUGAGUAACACGUGAGUAACCUGCCCUUGACUUUGGGAUAACUUCAGGAAACUGGGGCUAAUACCGGAUAGGAGCUCCUGCUGCAUGGUGGGGGUUGGAAAGUUUCGGCGGUUGGGGAUGGACUCGCGGCUUAUCAGCUUGUUGGUGGGGUAGUGGCUUACCAAGGCUUUGACGGGUAGCCGGCCUGAGAGGGUGACCGGCCACAUUGGAACUGAGACACGGUCCAG
rnacentral:rRNA from 1 species